GGGGAAUAUUGCACAAUGGAGGGAACUCUGAUGCAGCGACGCCGCGUGAGUGAAGAAGGUCUUCGGAUCGUAAAACUCUGUCCUUGGUGACGAAAAAAAUGACGGUAGCCAAGGAGGAAGCCCCGGCUAACUACGUGCCAGCAGCCGCGGUAAUACGUAGGGGGCGAGCGUUGUCCGGAUUUACUGGGCGUAAAGGGUGAGUAGGCGGUUAUAUAUGUCAGGUGUAAAAAGCUAUGGCUUAACCAUAGUAAGCACUUGAAACUGUAUGACUUGAGUGCAGGAGAGGUAAGCGGAAUUCCUAGUGUAGCGGUGAAAUGCGUAGAUAUUAGGAGGAACACCGGUGGCGAAGGCGGCUUACUGGACUGUAACUGACGCUGAGUCACGAAAGCGUGGGUAGCAAAC
rnacentral:rRNA from 1 species